rnacentral:rRNA from 1 species
AACGAACGCUGGCGGCAGGCCUAACACAUGCAAGUCGAGCGAGACCUUCGGGUCUAGCGGCGGACGGGUUAGUAACGCGUGGGAACGUGCCCUUCUCUGCGGAAUAGCCACUGGAAACGGUGAGUAAUACCGCAUACGCCCUUCGGGGGAAAGAUUUAUCGGAGAAGGAUCGGCCCGCGUUAGAUUAGAUAGUUGGUGGGUAACGGCCUACCAAGUCUACGAUCUAUAGCUGGUUUUAGAGGAUGAUCAGCAACACUGGGACUGAGACACGGCCCAGACUCCUACGGGAGGCAGCAGUGGGGGAUCUUAGACAAUGGGCGCAAGCCUGAUCUAGCCAUGCCGCGUGUGUGAUGAAGGUCUUAGGAUCGUAAAGCACUUUCGCCAGGGAUGAUAAUGACAGUACCUGGUAAAGAAACCCCGGCUAACUCCGUG